rnacentral:rRNA from 1 species
UCAGAUUGAACGCUGGCGGCAGGCCUAACACAUGCAAGUCGAGCGGUAACAUUUCUAAGCUUGCUUAGAAGAUGACGAGCGGCGGACGGGUGAGUAAUGCUUGGGGAUCUGCCUGAUGGCGGGGGACAACCACUGGAAACGGUGGCUAAUACCGCAUAAUACCUAUGGGUCAAAGUGUGGGACCUUCGGGCCACACGCCAUCAGAUGAACCCAAGUGAGAUUAGCUGGUUGGUAAGGUAACGGCUUACCAAGGCGACGAUCUCUAGCUGGUCUGAGAGGAUGAUCAGCCACACUGGGACUGAGACACGGCCCAGACUCCUACGGGAGGCAGCAGUGGGGAAUAUUGGACAAUGGGGGCAACCCUGAUCCAGCCAUGCCGCGUGUGUGAAGAAGGCCUUCGGGUUGUAAAGCACUUUCAGUGGUGAGGAAGGUGGUGUCGUUAAUAGCGGCAUCAAUUGACGUUAGCCACAGAAGAAGCACCGGCUAACUCCGUGCCAGCAGCCGCGGUAAUACGGAGGGUGCGAGCGUUAAUCGGAAUUACUGGGCGUAAAGCGCACGUAGGCGGUAUGUUAAGCAAGAUGUGAAAGCCCAGAGCUCAACUCUGGAAUAGCAUUUUGAACUGGCAUGCUAGAGUUUUGGAGAGGGUGGUAGAAUUUCCAGUGUAGCGGUGAAAUGCGUAGAUAU